GUGCUCACUUUGGCAGCACAUAUACUAAAAUUGGAAUGAUACAAAGAGGAGUAUCAUGGCCCCUCUGCAAGGAUGACAUGCAAAUUAGUGAAGAAGUCCCAUAUGUA